rnacentral:piRNA from 1 species
UGAAUCUUCAAUCUUCAAAAG